rnacentral:rRNA from 1 species
CUAUACAUGACUCUGCGCAUAUCAAUAAGCGGAGGAAAAGAAACUAACAAGGAUUCCCUAGUAACGGCGAGUGAAGCGGGAAGAGCUCAAAUUUGAAAUCUUCAAGGUUUUACCUUGACGAAUUGUAGUUUAAAGAAGUGUUUUCUGCUGAAGUUUUGGUAAAAGUUCUUUGGAAUAGGACAUCAUAGAGGGUGAGAAUCCCGUAUUUGACCAUUAUUUUCAGCUUUGUGAUACACUUUCAAAGAGUCGGAUUGUUUGGGAAUGCAGUCCAAAAUGGGUGGUAAAUUUCAUCUAAAGCUAAAUAUUGGCGAGAGACCGAUAGCGAACAAGUACCGUGAGGGAAAGAUGAAAAGAACUUUGAAAAGAGAGUUAAACAGUACGUGAAAUUGUCAAAAGGGAAGCGUUUGACACCAGUGUUGUUUUCUCGAAAAUCAAUUAAAAAUGGCUCGAUUUUGUAUUGCUUGAGACCUUAAAAGCUCACUGUACAUUUUUCGUGUCUUUUUUAAUGCACUUUUCGUUUAACAAGUCAACAUCAGUUUCUUUUGUUGUAAAAGGGUCAUUGGAAGGUGGCUUUCUUUUCGGAGAAAGUGUUUAUAGCCUUUGGCCUCUGCAAUCGGAGAGACUGAGGUCUGCAGCGUAGACUCUUCGGGGUUAGAUACAUUUGUGCUAAGUUAUAGCUUUUUAUAGACAACUUGUUGACUAUAAUUAGUCUUGUAGCUUACUCGCUUAUGCUAUUUUACCUACGCUUAGGAUGUUGACAGCAGUAUAGACUGU